GAUGAACGCUGGCGGCGUGCCUAAUACAUGCAAGUCGAGCGAACGGACGAGAAGCUUGCUUUUCUGAUGUUAGCGGCGGACGGGUGAGUAACACGUGGAUAACCUACCUAUAAGACUGGGAUAACUUCGGGAAACCGGAGCUAAUACCGGAUAAUAUUUUGAACCGCAUGGUUCAAAAGUGAAAGACGGUCUUGCUGUCACCUAUAGAUGGAUCCGCGCUGCAUUAGCUAGUUGGUAAGGUACCGGCUUACCAAGGCAACGAUGCAUAGCCGACCUGAGAGGGUGAUCGGCCACACUGGAACUGAGACACGGUCCAGACUCCUACGGGAGGCAGCAGUAGGGAAUCUUCCGCAAUGGGCGAAAGCCUGACGGAGCAACGCCGCGUGAGUGAUGAAGGUCUUCGGAUCGUAAAACUCUGUUAUUAGGGAAGAACAUAUGUGUAAGUAACUGUGCACAUCUUGACGGUACCUAAUCAGAAAGCCACGGCUAACUACGUG
rnacentral:rRNA from 1 species